ensembl:lncRNA
UUAAAACCAAAUACCUUUGGACUUUUACUCAAGUAGUAUUUUACUGGGUGACUUUCACUUUUACUUGAGUCAUUUUCUAUUAAGGUAUCUUUACUUUUACCCAAGUAUGACAAUUGGAUACCUUUUCCACCACUGAUUGGAUAUAUGCUGUAUGUUCAAUCAACUCAAGAGGAUAAAUCCUGAAGAUGGAACAAUGUGCAUAACAAUGUGGUCCAGAGGAAGCCAGCUUUUUGUUCUCAAUCCCUACCUUGCCCCAUUCUUCCAAGAGCUCACUGAGUUUGAAUGAAAACCUUGAGUGAGAAAAAUGCCACCACUCAAAUCAUAAUUGAGGAGGUUUGUUAAAGAGCCCCAUCAUGAACAACUGAUGCUGCGCUGAUUUCUCUCUCCUGGAUGCGCUCUGGCCCAAACUGUCCUGUUGUGUGUUUCCCCUCCUCUGGACCCACUUAACCCAACAGAGUUGCCCCUGAUCAUAGAACGGGCUGCAUCACAGCCUGGUAAAGGCAACUCCACCACCGCAGACAGCAAGGCGCUUUAGAGGGCGAUACACGCAGCCGAACGCACCAUUGGGUCCAGGGUCCACACUGCCUGCCAUCCAGGACACCUACAAUACCAGGUGUCGCAGGAAGGCGAAGAAGAACAUCAGGGACCUCAGCCAUCCAAGCCAUGGCCUGUUAGCCCCGUUUCUAUUCAUCAGACGCGGGUAGCACAGGAGUAUUAUGGCAAAGACUGGCCAACAAUUCCUACCCCUAGACCAUCAGGCUGCUGAAUAGCCACCACUACCUGCCCCCCCACACCCCAAUGACAUUCAUCACUGCUGCAGUUAAUACAGUAUGUACUGUAUAUUUGUAUAAUUAUUGUUUUAUUUCACUUGGCCCCAACACCCCCUUCAAUGGCCAUUUAGCCACAAUGGAUAUUCAUUUAGUUAUCACUGCUACAGUUAUUAUGUAUAUAGUACUAUUUCUAUUUUUCUUAUUACCAUUUUCAUUGUUUUAUUUCACUUAGUUCUGCAUGUUGGAGUUCUGAAUCGGAAGAUCUAGGAUUGUACCCAAUCCCAAUUUUAACUCUGUCUCCCUCUCUCUCUUUGUCCCUCUCUCCCCCACAGCCAACAGGCACACAAUAUAGUUUUUACAUUAGUGUUGUAAUGAUUCUCUUAUUUGGUUACAUAUGUGUUAACUUCUUGUUCCUUCUAUUGCAAUUCUGUUGUUAAUUCAUUUUUUAAUGUUGUUACCAAUUUGAAUAAAUGUAUUUUCAUGUACAAAUGUAUUUUUCUUUCAUUUAGAUUACAG